rnacentral:rRNA from 1 species
UACGGAGGGUGCGAGCGUUGUCCGGAAUUACUGGGCGUAAAGAGCUCGUAGGUGGUUUGUCGCGUUGUUCGUGAAAUCUCACGGCUUAACUGUGAGCGUGCGGGCGAUACGGGCAGACUAGAGUACUGCAGGGGAGACUGGAAUUCCUGGUGUAGCGGUGGAAUGCGCAGAUAUCAGGAGGAACACCGGUGGCGAAGGCGGGUCUCUGGGCAGUAACUGACGCUGAGGAGCGAAAGCGUGGGGAGCGAACAGG